ensembl:snoRNA SNORD48 small nucleolar RNA, C/D box 48
GGUAAUGAUGACUCCAGGUGAUUCUGAGCGUGUCGCUGAUGCCAUCACCGCAGCGCGCUGACA